GGCGGCAGGCCUAACACAUGCAAGUCGAACGGUAACAGGAAGCAGCUUGCUGCUUUGCUGACGAGUGGCGGACGGGUGAGUAAUGUCUGGGAAACUGCCCGAUGGAGGGGGAUAACUACUGGAAACGGUAGCUAAUACCGCAUAACGUCGCAAGACCAAAGAGGGGGACCUUAGGGCCUCUUGCCAUCGGAUGUGCCCAGAUGGGAUUAGCUAGUAGGUGGGGUAACGGCUCACCUAGGCGACGAUCCCUAGCUGGUCUGAGAGGAUGACCAGCCACACUGGAACUGAGACACGGUCCAGACUCCUACGGGAGGCAGCAGUGGGGAAUAUUGCACAAUGGGCGCAAGCCUGAUGCAGCCAUGCCGCGUGUAUGAAGAAGGCCUUCGGGUUGUAAAGUACUUUCAGCGGGGAGGAAGGGAGUAAAGUUAAUACCUUUGCUCAUUGACGUUACCCGCAGAAGAAGCACCGGCUAACUCCGUG
rnacentral:rRNA from 1 species